GAAAUGCGAUAAGUAAUGUGAAUUGCAGAAUUCAGUGAAUCAUCGAAUCUUUGAACGCACCUUGCGCUCCUUGGUAUUCCUUGGAGCAUGCCUGUUUGGGUAUCAUGAAAUCUUCAAAGUAAAUCUUUUGUUAACUCAAUUGGUUUCUACUUUGGUAUUGGAGGUCUUUGCAGCUUCACACCUGCUCCUCUUUGUUCAUUAGCUGGAUCUCAGUGUUAUGCUUGGUUCCACUCGGCGUGAUAAGUUAUCUAUCGCUGAGGACACUGUAAAAGGUGGCCAAGGUAAAUGCAGAUGAUCCGCUUCUAAUAGUCCAUUGACUUGGACAAUACUUUUAUGAUCUGAUCUCAAAUCAGGUAGGACUACCCGCUGAACUUAAGC
rnacentral:misc_RNA from 1 species